rnacentral:lncRNA from 1 species
GAGCUCCGAGUGCAGCAGAUGGUUUCCAUGGGCAUUGGGAAUAAACCUUUCCUGGACAUUAAAGCCCUUGGGGAACGGACACUGAGUGCCCUGCUCACUGGAAGAGGUGAGGUCCAGAGUGCUGGGGGGGGGGGGGGGAUGUUCCGAGAGUCAGAUCUAGAUACAAAAUCAAUGGGGUGCCAAGUGGGCAUCUCUUCCCAAAAUGUGGGACUCCCUGGGAAGCCCUCUGUGAGCUGUUCCACGGAGCCAGGAGGACUUUUCCACACCAGCACCCCACCACCCCAACUCCCCACUCUCUGCAGCCGCCCGAACCCGGGCCUCCGUAGCCGUGUCAUCCUUUGAGCAUGCUGGCCCGUCCCUUCCCGGCCUCUCACCGGGAGCCUGCUCCCUGCCUGCCCGCGUCGAGGAGGAGGCCUGGGAUCUGGACGUCAAGCAGAUUUCCCUGGCCUCAGAAACACUUGACUCUUCUGGAGAUGUGUCCCCAGGACCAAGAAACAGUCCCAGCCUGCAGUCCCCCAACCCUGGGAGCAGUACUCCUGCUCUGAGCAGUGGCGGGAUCUUAGGGCUAUCCAGGCAGGCCUGGCUGAGAGGCAUCAAGAGUCAUUCCCGAGCCCUGAGUGACCCCACCACGCCUCUGUGAACUAGGAACCAGAGUGACCCUGUUUGCUUGCCUUUAUGCACUGGGGACAGGGAAAUGUCCCUCUUGCUAUGCAACUGCACACCCCUGGGACACUGCUCUGAUGACAACCCACUAUUCUUCCCAGAAGACUCAUCUCGGCCAGGCUGAAUGGAAUUCCAUUCUGGGGUAUCACGGGAAAUGAAGUGUUCUAAGCCACUGAAGGAGAUGGGGUGGGCAUUGCAGACUUUAUAUGUAAUUACUGUUAUUAUACUAUUUACAUUAAAUGUAUUUACUCUC